AAUAGAUACCCGGGUAGUCCACGCCGUAAACGAUGAGUGCUAAGUGUUGGGGGGUUUCCGCCCCUCAGUGCUGCAGCUAACGCAUUAAGCACUCCGCCUGGGGAGUACGGUCGCAAGACUGAAACUCAAAGGAAUUGACGGGGGCCCGCACAAGCGGUGGAGCAUGUGGUUUAAUUCGAAGCAACGCGAAGAACCUUACCAGGUCUUGACAUCCCGGUGACCACUAUGGAAACAUAGUUUCCCCUUCGGGGGCAACGGUGACAGGUGGUGCAUGGUUGUCGUCAGCUCGUGUCGUGAGAUGUUGAGUUAAGUCCCGCAACGAGCGCAACCCUUAUUCUUAGUUGCCAUCAUUCAGUUGGGCACUCUAAGGAGACUGCCGGUGAUAAACCGGAGGAAGGUGGGGAUGACGUCAAAUCAUCAUGCCCCUUAUGACCUGGGCUACACACGUGCUACAAUGGACGGUACAAACGGUUGCCAACCCGCGAGGGGGAGCUAAUCCGGAUAAAACCGUUCUCAGUUCGGAUUGUAGGCUGCAACUCGCCUACA
rnacentral:rRNA from 1 species